UCUGGUUUUCAUUUCUCUCUGAUUUACUCCGGGACUUUUCAGCGAUCCGAAGCCACUGAAGCUUGUCGUGAAACUUGUGAUCCUGUGAUGUUGGAUGGGAAGGCUUGGAACCGUGCUUGGUUCCACCUUUUGGUGUUUGCAUUAUGUGGACUCAUGGCUCUCUGCCAGUCUCAAAGCUCAGGCUUUUCAAAGCAGCGGACUCUCUUUUUGGUUGGAAAAACUGGCUCUGGAAAGAGUGCAUCAGGAAACACCAUCUUGGGCCACUCAG